UAUGUUGUAGUGUAAGGAUGCACUUUAAUUUUUGAUAUUAAAAGAUUUAGUUUAAUUCUAAAUAAUAUAA
rnacentral:tRNA from 1 species